AGUGGCGAACGGGUGAGUAAAGUAUCGGAACGUGCCCAGUCGUGGGGGAUAACGUAGCGAAAGUUACGCUAAUACCGCAUACGAUCUAUGGAUGAAAGCGGGGGAUCGCAAGACCUCGCGCGAUUGGAGCGGCCGAUAUCAGAUUAGGUAGUUGGUGGGGUAAAGGCUCACCAAGCCGACGAUCUGUAGCUGGUCUGAGAGGACGGCCAGCCACACUGGGACUGAGACACGGCCCAGACUCCUACGGGAGGCAGCAGUGGGGAAUUUUGGACAAUGGGCGCAAGCCUGAUCCAGCCAUGCCGCGUGCAGGAUGAAGGCCUUCGGGUUGUAAACUGCUUUUGUACGGAACGAAAAGGUUUGGCCUAAUAAGCUGAGCUCAUGACGGUACCGUAAGAAUAAGCACCGGCUAACUACGUGCCAGCAGCCGCGGUAAUACGUAGGGUGCGAGCGUUAAUCGGAAUUACUGGGCGUAAAGCGUGCGCAGGCGGUUAUGUAAGACAGAUGUGAAAUCCCCGGGCUCAACCUGGGAACUGCAUUAGUGACUGCAUAGCUGGAGUACGGCAGAGGGGGAUGGAAUUCCGGGUGUAGCAGUGAAAUGCGUAGAUAUGCGGAGGAACACCGAUGGCGAAGGCAAUCCCCUGGGCCUGUACUGACGCUCAUGCACGAAAGCGUGGG
rnacentral:rRNA from 1 species